GCCCAGGCCUGCUUGCAAGACAAAUGGCUCCAUUGUUUCCGUGGUGUGCAAAUAUCACCGGUCCUGGGAGGUCAGGAUUGCACACACGCUGAGUGGAUUCUUAAACGACUUGGAUGAAAUACACACAGAAGAUUUCCAAGAUAAGGAGUCGGUAAUGAAAUGCAGUUAUGUGCUGGUGCCCACUGCUCUCCGUGUGUGCUGUGGUGACCUGGAGUUUUGUGGGGGUGCAGGUGCAGGCUGGGGAGCAGCACAUCUCCGAGGCUGGGAUGGGCUCUGGAGGCUUUCCAGAGUACUCUACACCUCUGCAGGAGUCUGGGCCUAGGGUGAGGCUGAAGCCUUCACUGUUGUUUCUGCACCUGGAUGCUGGAGGGAAGGAGGUGGGACAGGAUGAGGGGGAAACCGAUGAUACAUGCCAGAAGGAAAUGUAAUUGUGGUGGUUUACUUUCGGAACCUCUACUUUCAAAAGAUGUACAUGAAAGUUUUUGUUCCAGUGGCAUAGAGCCUCCUUCCACCCACUCUGAAAAUCAUGUUGCUUUUCAAGAGCUCCACAUGCAUUCAAGUAAAAAGUUUUGCAGACAAAGCCCUCAGAGAAAUGUGCUGCACUUGGGGAGCUCAGCAGAGCCGUGGACAUCACAGACACAGGAGAAUUGUUUGUGCUGUACAUGCCCAGACUAUAUGAAGAGGAUCUUUCAAGUUUAUAGACUUCAAGAAAAUACAAAUCCAGUUUUUUCCAAGCUUCUCAGUUUCUUACAUCAUCAUACGGGCAGCUGCAUUGGUCAUAAUGUUCAAGAACCCUGCGAAGCUGAAGUCAUUGUAUGUCAUUACAGCACUAUGAAAAGAGGUCCAUCUUGUUGGCUUUUGUCAGUGGCUGCUGUGUUUCCAUGUAGCUGUGUAACCCAUCCCAGGAAACAUGGACAUUUCUCAAGCACCACUACCAGGAGGGAAGCAGACUGUCAUCCUACUCCUUACUCCCUGUGGCAAGGAAUAUUCUCCAGUGUUUGGGGAACACUGCUACGCAGUCAACACUCCUGCUCUGAGGUGAUCUGUGGUUCCAGGUUCUUCCUCGAGAAAAAUUGUAAGUUCUAAAUCAAAAUGAAAGAUUCUGAGGUAAACUGCAAAGGGCAAAGAAAACUGCUCCACCAAGACCUGAAAGUAAGCCUACAGGAAUUAUCUGAAUGGUUGUAAUAUAACUCCCAUGAAAACUAGAGGUGUGGAUUAUUCUUCAUUUUUAUGUGAUGCAUGUUAUCUCACCUUUGUUUACCAAUCCAUCAUGGACACUGUAAAGGACAGUAAUGCAUAAUAGUAUAUGUUUAGAAUAUUCUGGAAGUAUGAUUUGCUUUCAAAAAUUAGCCUCCAAAACUUACAUGAAAAUCUAUCUGUGGCCUAUAUUUCAAAUAAAUAGAUCCUUUGCGCAAACACUUUACCAGUGUUUAUAAAUUGACUCAUGCUUGUAAUUAGCUCAUUUGGUAGCACAUUGUCCCCUGGUUUCAGCUGGCUCUCUGAGCACUGGGGACCCAUUUUUAAGCCAGGACACUUCCUGCUCACUUUCCCAAUACCCUUGGAAAAUUCCAGGAGUGUCAUUCAGAGUGCAAAGACAGUCAGCUCUUGACACUGUGGCUUGGCUGGGUGCUGACUGACCCUGGUCACUGAAGUGUUUCAGUGUGCUAAGGCAUCAGGAAUCUGACCCAGCAAAGAGAGACUUUGUGGGUUUUUUGGUGGGCAACCAUGCAGAAAUGUCUCUCAGUGGUGAGUGUCAAAAGUGGUGCAAGGAUAAAGGGGGGUCAGCUCUACCAGCAGGAGGAGGGAGCUGGCAUGUCACCUGAAGGGGAAACAUGGAAGUGCAACCUGUACAGGUACCUACUGUGCGGUUUUCCACACCCAGAUGAGAUAUGUACUCCUGGUGAUAUGAACUUCAUGCUGCCUGUUCAGAAACCUCUUUAUCAGCAUGGGCUAUCAGCUUUAAAAGAUUUGAUGCCUAAAUGAAGCUAUAAGAUGUCUGUGCAUUAUCAUAACAGAAAAGUCUUAUCUUGCACAACAGGUAAAUAUUACUGACACAGAGGACUAAUUUUAGGAAAUCUGACAUAAGGAUAGAGUGACAAGCUUAUUACAACUGACAUGUGUAUGUAGUUUUACACUUUUGAUUACACAGAUUUCGCUGAAGUGAGCCAGUAUCAGCUAAGUCUGUUUGCUGGUAUGACACGUGCUUUCCUUCCCUUUAAGUCCUGUGUAUGGAGAACUGCAGCCCUGAACAUGCAACCUUUGCUUCCAGACAAUGCUAAAUAAAGUCAACCAGGAAAGUUAAGGUAAAUCAAGUAAAUUUGGGAUAUGAAUCCAACUCCCAUAAAUCAAAAUGCACUGAAAGGCUUCUGUGUGGUUUAGUUCCUUCGAGUGUAGUGCAGCUGUAGGCUUGCUCAAGGAUCGAGCUCACUUCUUAUGAUUGUAUGCUCUUAAAAUUAAUGAACUUUAGGAAAACCCCAGGAGUGAGAUUAAAAAAGUUGAAAUGUGUGUCUGUUCUAUUGAACACUGAAAGGAAGAGAAGAAUGUCUUACCAAAUCACUUACAUAGUUAUAAUUUGAAAGAAUACAACAUUGCUUAAAUAAAGUCUCCUCCAUUUCAUGAAACUCCUAACAACAAUGGCACUUGCCUAAAAGAUAUCUUGGAAGCUGAAUUCAGUGUGAAAACCAUAAAUAAACCAGGGCAGAUAUUCUUGAAGUGAUUCCAAAGUAAACAUAUAUAUUUACAUAUUUUAUUAAUGUUUUACUAAUAUCUAUUAAUAUGUUAUCCUUUAGAAGAGAUGGCUUGGGUGGGAUCUUAUCCAUGUAUAUAAAUACAGAAUGGUGCAGAGAAGACUGAACUAUUCCCUUCUUACUCGUAUCCAGGGAAGGGUAGGAGGCAGUGGGUACAAAUUGAAACAGAGAGAAUUCUAUUAAACAGAAGAAGAAAAUUUUGUCCUGUGAGGGUAAUCAAACACUGAAUCAGAGAGAAGUGAAGUCUGUGUCUUUGGCAAUAGUUCAAAAUACAACCCUGAGCAACCUACUACCUUUUGGACCCUGCUUUGAGAGGGGUUGGACCUGAAAAUCUCCAGAGGUCCCUUCCCACCUUAGCCUUCUGUGUUUCUGUGUAGACAAGAUGCUGUUAGCAAUCUUCUAGUGAAGAAAGAUGAAUAAAAUUUCAAAUUUCAAUCUCUAGAAUUUUCUCUGACAUCAUCUUAUUUAUGAGAUGUCUUAAGAUGAGGUUUAAAUUAUUGAAUUAUUCUUUCUGUAAUGUAGGGGAAAAGAUGAUUCAAAUGUAAGUGGUCCUUUUGAGUAUUAAAAUGAGAAAUUAAAAUGUUAUGCCAGCUUUUUUUUUUUUUUUUGGUGGAAUUCAUGUUCAGUUGUCAGUGUUCUGGACAUUGAUUUUACCUCUGCUCUACAAGAUCUAUUCCUUUCAGAUCUUCACUGAUUUUUCAUUUUGGAUGAUUUAUGACAUAUUCCUUUUGACAAUAGGCACACUUAUCUUCUUUUUCUGCCCCCUUGCUAGUUCCAGGAUAGUGUAAUGUGAUAGAAAUGGAGAGGAACCAUGAAUGACUUAGGAAAUUUCAGUAGUCUUAGCAUUUUGCCCAGACUGGCUUGUUUGACAUCUUUGUUCCAAUGUUCUGACUUUGCUCUCUUGCUAAGCAAUCCAACUGUUCAAACACCAGUUAAAAAGAAGCUGUAUCCACUUAAUGGAAGCAUGCAAAAGUCCAUAACACUGAAAAGAAGUGGAACUUCCCCUAAUUUAGUCUACUGUCUAUAUUUAUCACUGUUCAUUUGCUAUGUGCCUUCCCUCCCACCCCAGCUGCCACCUCACAGAUGGCAUUCCCAGCAAAAGAAACAGUUCGGAUUCAGUACACUGUCAUCUGGAAAUGUCAGCAGAUGACAGGGAGAGGGGAGGAAGAGGAGGGCUAGCUCCACAUUUUUUCAGGACAAAACUUGACCUCAAAUUCUACUCAGUCACCACAGAGUUCUGGGGAUUACCAGGCUGGAGGGGAGGGAGGGCACAAAGGAAGCAAAAAAAGAGUUUGAUAUGGUGUGUAUAAUGAUCUUAUGUUCUGAGGCUUGCUGGAUAGAAAUUUCCAUACUCUGCAGUUAUUUACUUCUAACUCUGUAACAGCUUUAAUUUAUUAAAGGGCUAAAAAAAAAAAAAAAGAAGAAAGAAAAAGGUUUUGUUUGCCCUAGAAACCAAGUGAAAACAAUGAGGAAGAAGAAGGCAUCCCUGCAAAGUUGACACUAUUAAGCCCAGGCACAAAGUGGAACCUUUGCAGUGCCUGUGAACAGAUGUCUAAUGACAAGCAAAUAAAACAAUAAUUCUUAAGCAAUGAUUUAUUUCUGGUUUAGUUUUUUAGUGCCUUUUAUUCAGCCUUUUCAUAUCAGUCAUUUCUAUAUGCUUCUGGUGUUGUAUGCUGUCCUGAGUGUUACUGACAAAAACAUGGUGGGCCUGGAACUUGAUACAAGGAAAGAGACAGUGCAAGGUUUUAGAUUUAAGGAUAAUGUAGCCACAGGUGUCCAAUAUUUGUCUUCAAAUAUUUCAGAUGUCACUAACUGUGCCAAAUUUUCAUUCUGAAGACUGAAAUUUCAAAAACUUGUGUGCCUGAGAGUAAAAAAUUUCAGAUACUAUUAUUUUGUUGAACAAGGCUAAGGAAUAAGGUUGCUGGGUUUGGCAUCUUAAAAAUAUUCUUGCAGCUGUUUCUCUAGGGAGCUGUGGUACCUUCCUGUGUUGCAACAAGGGCUCAAUAUUCAGUACAUUUUAGCAGCAGGAGGGGUUUUGGCUGCCUUGUGAAAAUUCAUUCAAAAUAGCAAUAAGAGUACAGGCUUCUGAGAAAUACCCUCUCACAAACAGACAGAAGACGCUGCCCAGCUGCAGCAGGGUUGCUGAGGCACCCGGCCUGAGAGCAGAGGCAGAUGUCCUUUUCAGUGACUCAGACUAGAGCACUCUAAGCAGGUAUUGGCCCAUCUGCUCCCACAUCUCAGAUGUCGUGGCUGAUUAUCUGAACACUCAAGCUCUGUUAUAGUGAAAAUUCAGGAAAGCGGUGCCAUUCACUGACAAUGACAUCUUAACAGCCCCCAGCUGCUCAUUCCCAGCCUAUGCCCUCCUUUAGCUCUUCUAAAAUUGUUUAUGGGGCCAAGAACCUGGAUCCUGCCCUGCCACACUCCCAAAAAAGAUCUGAUUAUUUUUAGCCUGAACUGACUCUCACUCCUGUUUCAGUGUAGGGAUGGCUGGGGUUAGAUUUGCUGGAGGACAGCUAACUGUUUGUGCACUGCCAUCAGGAGACGGUCUUUUCCAGGCCCUGCAUUUUCCUCUUGCUUUUUAAGUGCAGAUGUCAUAAGGAGACCCAACUGUGUUUGUACAUGCUCUGCAGUCAGGAGAGCAAGGGGAGCAGCUGAGGGCUGGCAUCCCGCCCUGCCGAGGGCAGGCAGCUGCAGCUGGUAAUCCCCUGGACUGCCGCUGCAGGCCUUGAUAAGGCUGCUCUGGCAGAGCACAUCAGGCUCUUUGCUUGCUUUCCUACCACCCUAAAAGGUAACCAAGCCUUAAUAAGGAUUAAGUAUAAAAUCAAAGUCUCUGCUGGUGCCAUGAGCACUUCAUUAUGCCCAAGAAAUGUAACAACAUUUCUGUUUUGCACCACCAGCACAAUUCUUUAUUGAACAAGAGGAAAAAUUUCUCAAAGUGGUUGGGUAAAAUCCCCUAAACUGAAAUCAGAAAACGCAGGACUAUGGGACUACGUAAUCAAUCAGCUUUCUAACCGUAAACCAAAGAUCUCCCAUUGUCACUCGGACCAGUCACUUAGAAACACUGUGUUUCUGUGUUUGUAACCAGUAGCUGAACUUGAAAUGGAUGGAUUUUUUGAAUGCAGUGUAAAGGUACUUCACAGUCUUUGUGCACUGUGAGGAGUUUCUGUGUGGAAACAAAUUUGUGGUACUGGUGCUGCUUUCCACAUGUAGUCCAUGGAUUCAGGAGGUUUGUGAGCUUUUUACAAGAGAUUUGUGCAAAUUUACCUAUGAGGAGUUAGGGAGCUUUGAUUUUGUACCUAAAACUGUGUCCUUUAACCAGGAAGAAAAAGAAAAUGAGAAGUCUGCUGACAGCUAUGACUGAAAGACACUGAUUUGGUGAAGUAUUCAUUUGUGGUAUUAAUGACUGUGUGCUAAUUUCCCAGGCAGGCUAGCAUGUGUGAAAAUAAUGGGUUUACUCAUCUCCUGGGUUCUCAAGGUGGUUUCUCUGUGACCUGAGUUCUUGGGAUGCAAAUCAAAUUCUCAGUGAAUUUAGGUAGUGCAGGGUACAAACCUUGUGAGCAGGAGAGCAAUCUGUGGAUUAGGUGAAAAUAUGGGGGUUGAAUAGGCAUAUAAAGUAAAAAAAAAAAAAAAAGAAUGGUGAUUUUAAAAACAAACAAAUAAACAUCCCAGGAAACCAAGCUCCAGUUCUUUCUCCUGUCUAAUUAAAUUUUAUGACCUCCCUUUUUAAACAGCAUAUGGGACACAGAUUUCCUAGUCAGCUGGGGAUCAGUUAGAUACGUGUCUGCAUGUUAUUCAAGUUCCAGCUGAUUAAGCCUUUGCAUAUACCAGAGGUUUCCUGUGAUAUUUGUACAGACUAUCAUGGACAGCAAACCUAGCUUGGAGCUUUUUGUCAAAAUGAGUUUCAUCCAAAAAUGCCUCCAUUUGUCUUAGCCAAAACUUUGUCAGAAAAAGGUCAAAUCAGAUUUCAAGGCCAUGAAAAAUUAGCUUUUGUAAAACAAGAUUUUGACACAUCAAAUUAAAAGAUAUUGUUUCUCUGUAAAAUGGGUUUCAGUUAUAAGACAUAAGUACAGUUGAAAUGUUUUGAAGAUCACCUAAAUGAAAUAUUUCUAUUGACAUUUUUGACAUUAAUAUUAUUAUUAUUAGUUAAUAAAAUUUUUCAAGUUUUUUAUUAUUUUGUCACAGUUUAAGAAAGACUCCACAAGAUUGGAAAGAGUCCAAAUCCAGUCCUAGUUCAGCCCAUGAUAUGGUGGAUAUCAGAAAGCAAAGCUCAGCAGAAGAAAAUGAAGGAGAACACAUAAGUGUUCUCAGAAAAAAAAAGGAAUGAGGUAUUCCUGUUCUACUUGCCCUUCACAUCUGCUCCCUAGCCUUUAAUCAUUCAUUAGCAUCUUUAGUUCUGGUACAAUUCUUAUCGGGUAUCUAUUCCUACAAGUGAAGCAUAAUAGCAAUGAAUAAUGGGGAUACAUUAUUUUAGCAACUGUUCCUGAUUCUGUUUAAUGACUGGAUACAAAACGGCUUCUCUUCCUUCUAAUAUGGCUAUUUAAUUUAGAUGUACUAUAGAUAGCUGCUUACAGAAGUCAUUCCUUAAAACAACAGGAAACUUUUGCCUGUUUACAUAUAUCAUACAAUAAUGGAAUACCUUUUGUAUUUUUCUCAAGGUUAUAUAGAAAACAACUUAGUACGUUAACUAUGGGUCAUUAGGGAAUUGCAUUUCAACAGAAAAAUUCUCUCUCCAUGUAUGUGCUGAAAAAAAAUUACUGGUUAACUUCAAGUUAUGGUGUUUACUAAAUGAUUGCAGUUCUGCUUCAGUGGUUGAAAGUGCAAAAAAAAAUUUGCAUUUUUUUCAAAGUGUUUCCUAUGAACUAUUUAUUAUUGAAAUUACUUGAUGCAGUUAUUUGACCUAGAAGUUGGAGUGAAAGAAAGUUUAGGUGGGACAACUAGGGGUGAGCUAUGUAAGUCUCAGAGACUUCACUGUGAAGUAUUGUAGAAGAAGCAUGUACUAUCAGGGAUAUUUUCUUGGGGAAGAGGGAACAGAAUGUUUCAGCCGAGCCUUCUGCUGAAAACGAUCCAUGAUAAUGAAAGCUGAAGGUCCCACAGCUUCCUGGCCUCACUUCAUCACUGUAUUAUGUAAAUCCUAGAAAACCCCCUGUGAGCAAAGGGCUGCAGGAAAGGGGGACUGCAGACUGCAGACUCUACCAUUGUUUCUCUUUUCUCUUUCCCUUUUGGUGGAGGUUGGUGCAUGGGCAGCUCAGUAAAUAGUCAAUUGACAGUCUUUUGUGCAAUGAGCUCACUGAAAACUGUUUUGUGAGGCUGGAUUUCCAAUUCUGCUGUGUCAGCCAACAUGUUGUGUUCUGGGCAGGUUCUCAGCUGCUGUGACUUGUUACAGAUCUGCAGGAGUGGGUGAAUCCUGAGUAGCUCAUACUAUGAGGAUUUCUUUUACAGAAAAAAUAUGAAAGAAUGUUAUAUAUUUAAUCAUUUUCCAGCUCAGGCUGGAAAAGAUCCAUCUAGCCUAGUAUUCUGGCUCCAAAAGUGAUGGUCAAAACAGAGGGUGGUUACUAAAGAUCAUUGUAACAAUCAUGUAGUAAUAGCUACCUGCCUUAUAUUCUGAACUUCUAGCAGUCUGACUUUCGAAGUCGGAGGUAGAGCCUUUCUGUUUAAUAAGUUCCGAUGGAUGAAUUUGUCCAGGAGAUCUUUAACUCAUGUCAAAUUCUAUAACCACAGCCUUUUGUGGCAAGGAGGUUCAAAGUUACCACCCUGCUGUAUGAAGAAAUUCUUUUGGUUUCCUUGGCUUUCAAACAGAUAAUGAUUUGAUGCAUCCUUGUUUGCUGCCUCCUAUGCUACAAAAAACUUCCAUUCCCUAUUAGACCCAUCAUUGUUACUCAUGAUUUUAGAGAGUUCACCUCUUUGUCUCCUCUUUGCUAUGCACACUAAUCCUAGAUUUUGUUAUCCUUUGAAAUUGUUACAACUUCUAUUUCUUGGUUUUCUAUCUCUUCUAUUUUCUCUUUCCUAAAAACAAACUGAUAUAUAAUUUUCAAGGGAGCCCCAAGGGAGCCUCCUUGAGUUUAUAGCAAACAGGGAUGCAAACAAUUCCUGCAGCUCAUUGGCACAACCUUCUCUCUCCUGUAUGCUCUUUUAUAUCUUAGCAAUCUACUGCAGCAUUCUUUGACAGGUGUCUUGCUUGCUACAGGAAAGUAUUAACUACAAGUUUUUGAUGCCUGCCAAUGCCUUUCUCAGCCUAUGGUCACUUUCUAGUUUAUGUCUUAUUUUCACCUAAACUUUGUAAGGGAUGUAAUCUUUGGUAAUAAACUACCUCUGUAACCACAGCAGCUUUUUCUGAAGUGCUAACUCUGAGACCUCCAGGUGCUGGGAGGUAUCUUCCUCUUGGGCUUGUCACUUUUGAUACAUCUUUUACAAGCUUCCACUUUCUUUUUGUUAACCUCAAGUGCUACCACAGUAGAUUUUCUGGGGGGGGUUUAUUGCUUAUGCAUGCAUAAUAAGUCUAAUUUCAUUACAGUUAUUGUUAACAUAGUUCUUUGAUACAGAAGGAUUCAAAUGACAGGUCAGAUUGCUUUCAUGGUCUGCUUCAUGUACUGUGGCUGUGGAUUCUUUUUUCCCCAAUUACUUUUCCUUUCAUUUAAGAUGAUGUGACCCCCUACCUUUUUCAAGUUGUUCCGAACGAAGUUUAAAAAUGGAAGAUGUUUCUUUUUCUCUCAAUGCACUACCCUUUAUUUAUUGGCUUGAUUGCAUCGUUGACAACACCUGUAUUUGUAAGGCAAGAGGAAGGUGUGCAGUUCUGCCACACAAGGAGCAGCUGGCCAGUGCCAGUAACUCAACCUGCAGGGCCGAGCCUGGCGAGUUUCCUGACCGUGUCCCGGCAGCUGCCCCGGCGUUGGGGUGCUCAGCCACCCACUGCAGGCUUUGGAGCAGCAGUGUGGGAACACUGCCCUUCCAGAGAGGCCAGGGUUUACAGUUUUCCUCCAACCAAGGUCUCUGGGCCAAGUUCCACCCAGAACACCUUUGUGGAACUGCAGCACACAUUAAUAAUAACAGAGAGGCAUAUGGGCAGCGGGCAGGCUGGAGCGUGAGGCAUGCUGACUGCAAAAACCCAAAUUUGGGGAAGUAAUCUGAGAGAGUGCUACCAAAAAGUAUUUGUCAUUUUAAAGUAUGUUUCCCUAGUGCUUUUGCAUUUGAUUGAUGGAUUUACCUUACCUGAAAUGUACCCUGAAAGGCUCUGGCAGUUCAGCAAGCAAGAAAACUUCAAAUAAGUAUUUGUAGCUGUAUCUGCAGUGAUGAAAGCUAACCUGAAGGAGAGGAAAAGGUAUUGACUGAUUUUUAUGCUUCUGGAGGAAAUUAAAACUUGAAAACUUUUUUUUCCCCCCAAGAAUCACAUACUGGAGAUGCCAGGGGAAAUGUACUUAAAUGAAAACUUGCAUCCCAGGUAUAAUUGCACUAUCAUUAGCGUGGUUGUUGGGCUGGGCCCUGCUAACAAAAUGCACUAUCUAUUUUGCUAUUAACUUUUACAUCAAGAUGUUACAAAAGCAGUAGGUAAGCAGGACACAGGAACUAUCCUCAUUUUCUUUGGAAUGUGCCCUGCACUGUCAAAUACAAGUAGAAGGCUAUAAAGGAGCCAGUAAGGUUUAGGGAGGGCCCAGUUCUGUUUCAGAUUGUGCAAGGUUGCACUGUCGCAAGCACCAUUUUUUCUGAGAGCUUUUAAGACAGUAGUAUACUUACAAUAAUGCACAAAUGAAUGAAAUUCUUGUUUUAAGAAACACUUAAAACAAGAAUUUCAUUCAUUUGUGCAUUACUGUCUUAAAUGUUCUUAUCUUUCCUCAUGCUUAAUAUUAGUGAAAGAGGCCUUAUGUCUAAUCAGGAAAAGACUUGAGACCUACUUUUAUCCCAAUCAAUUCGCUAGUGCUCAUUGAGGACUUUGAGAAAUCUUUGAAACCUUCAAGGGAUUCAGGCAAAAUUUUGCAGGAUAAUUUUUUUUUUCUCCCCUUAUAAGUCUUUAGUGCUGAGCUGUCCUGAAACAUGUGCAGAAAUUAUCCUCUGCCAAGGUAAGGGAUCCAAUAUGCCUGUAACCACCCUGGCUUCGGGUUACCUGUAAACUGAGAAAGACAUUCUUAAAUGUCCUUAAACAUGAUGAGGACACCCUUUAUGUUCCAGUAGAAAUUAGAACUUGCAGUCAAAGAUGGAUCUGGAGAGAGAGCAUUCCCUAUGCACAUGUUGAUUCAGAUAUUCCCACUGUGGAAAGUGUAUCUGCCUAGGCCUAGAGCUUUAGGUGACCACUGUGUGUCUCUUAGAAGUGCCAGUGUUUCUGUCUGGCUAUCCCUCCUCAUUUGCUAGGGACUGGAUCUCAGUCACCAAGCUGAUCCUUGUCCAGUCUGCUUCAAGAGAUGAGGAUCCAUGAGUGAAAGCCCAGACUUCUGAGGUGUUUUCCGCCUUUAGCUCCUGGUGACAUCGGACUAAAAUGCACUUUUACAUCUCUUUCAGUGUCCUCUUUAGGCCUUUGAAAGCAGUUCUUGAGCAGCCCAGUGCAGAGCGCCUGCGAGAGUCCACAGGCAGUGAGUGACUGAAGCUGCAUGUGGCAGUCUGGAUCAGCUUUAUUGCAGCACUGCAGUGAUACCAUCCAAACUGAGGUCUUUUUACAAGGCGCGGCGUUGUUUGCCAGACCGACGUUAACAUGCAUGAUUUAAAUGAUGGCACAAGCGGAACUUCGUCUCAAAAUGGAGAUAUUAAAGAUACCAAAAUAUUAUCUUUCCUCUUGCCAAUGAGAGCAGCUGGCAGGAUGGGUUUACUGAACAAAAACUUUGGCCAGCAGACAAAGGUUAUCGUUUUCACAGACUUUCCUUCUGAAGUACAGGAUUAACAAAACAUGUUAUUUUUUUUAUUUCAAAAUUGGAGGGUUUGUGUCUUUCAUCUGGUCAAAUUUAGCUUAAAAGUGGAAAUAAUAUCAAAGUUACAUGCACCAUAGGGAGACUGUUAAUGUGGUAACAAAGGGCAUUUGGCCAGUUCAAAUAAUAAAAGACUAUACAGCUUUCCCAGUGAUGGCUGGAGCCCAAUUAGUACUUUCCAAGUAGAGCCACAAUAUUCUUUUCCAAAUUAUGCGGUUUGGCAUGAAUCAGAGUGAGUAAACUUACUUUCCUACAAGGGAAAAAUAUAAUUAAGAGAAAAAACAAGGUCAUGCAGUAUUAUGCUUCAAGUAAGCAAUAAUACACCAUAGGGUGUUCGUUAGUCAAUAUUCAUACACCCUGAACAGGCUGAGACAGAGACAAAGCAAUGGCUCAGCAUACAAAAAGAUACAUAUAUUACCUUUAUAAAGCUAUGUGCAAAAGUAAAAUGCAAAUGGAUGUUUUAUUUCCUUACUAGAUUAAGAGAAUAUGUGUUCAAUGUUCAUGUGUAUAACACUCAUAAAUGUUACUUAAAAAUACCUUUUCUGUUAACAUUUUAUACUUUUUAGUAAUAAGAGAACUUGCUGCUUUCAUUUUUUCUGGGUAUCUGUUUUAUUGGGGUUUUUUCCUGCUAUUAAAGCCAAAAUGGUUUGAAAGUUU